AGAUGUAUGAUUCUUUAUUUAAACGGCAGUAAAGAACGCUGGAAUAGGCUUUCCAGGGACACUCCCAUGAGCUCUGGGCUCCUUUGCAGCUUCCAGCUCUGGGUCUUAUUUAAUGGGCUUCAAAGGUCACUGUCUCCAUGAUGUCCGGUGUCAUAGAACCAACCGUCUCCAGCCCCUGGCCACCCUCUGCUGUCUCGGCGAUGGCCACGUUGGUGCUCCUCUCCGCCAUCUUAGCCAUGACGUUCACAUCUCUGCCAUGUGGUGUGCCCACUACUUUUGUAGUAAGGUUGGCUCUGACGUUCCUCAGGAAAGAGCUGACCCUGCCAAGUCCCUUGCUGGAACCGGAACUGGUGGUCCAUAAGCUCCUCCCAGAUUUGUGAGAGGUCCUGGACUCCUUUGAGAUGGGCGUGUGGCUGACACCUUUAUGCGAGUCCCUGUGCCUGCUGCUCCCCGGGUUGCCACAGCCUUUCUCCUUUUUGUCAUCUCUAUUGGCUCUGUGGCUGAAUGAGGACCUGCUGGAGGACUUUUGGGCAAUCUUGUCUCCCCUUGUUUUGUGGCGGCUUUCACCUGUCCUGCGGCGAUGGGAACUCCUUCCGAGAGCCCUGUCCUUUUCCCUUCUUUCCCUCCCCUCCUUGCAGCCUUCAGCGCUGGCCUGGGUUCGCUCCCUUCCAUGCUGUCCACUCAGGCUGCUCUUGCUCUGCCGGGUGGAGACGGGAGGUCCCGCUGCUGCAUCCAUGUCUGCUUCUGCAGCUGUCCUGCUGGUCAGUACUACUCCUGCAAUGGCCAGGCUCACACUGCCCUCUCGGGAAAGGCUCAUGGAUGCGCUGGAAACAUGCUCUGAGGACUUGCCUGCAGCCCCUGCCACAGCCACCUUCGUGCUGUUUGGAGCCAUGCUGGCAGUGCCUGCAAGGGCCAUGUUGCCUUUGUUUCCUCCUGCACCGAUGGUGGCCGCCCCAGCUAUGGCUGCGCUCACCUGUCCAGGGGCAGAAUUGGCUGCUGCCACACUCAAGGCACCUGCUACGGUGCCUGUUGCUGCCCCUGCAGCUGCCCCUGCUGCUGCUGCCUCUUUAAUCCCCCCUGUUGCUGGCUCCUCAGCAAGUUCUGUAGAUGUUUUGGGGAUGGAUGCAUUGAGCACAUUAGUGGGUUUGUUAAAGUCAUUUUGGAGUCCCUCCCCUCCAGCAUAAGCAGCAGAGGUGGCCCCACACACCUCAGAGACCAUGUGGAGGCUUUGGAUGCUGACCUGGUCCUGAUCCCCCUUUCCUUGAAGGUUCACGGCUCCCAGGCUCCUCCUGUCUUCCUGAAACACAGGCAUCCACAUCAUGUCUUCAGCUGGAAUGCCACAGGUACUGCUGUUACUCUCCAUGGGUGGCCGCAAGAGGUAAAUUAGUUUUUCCCAAUAGGCAAAGAGGUCAUCCCGUGUGUCAAGAGCGGGACACAAUUGCAGAUAGCAAGAUCUGCCAGUGGCGAACUUCAGGCGCAGCUGUUGUUUCUCAUGGUCUUGAACAGAGAUCCGUACAAACCUCAGGGGCAGAAGCCUGUUGUCGCUGCAGUUUCCCCAUGGUGGUGUUGAACAUGCUCAUGCUGGAGCCACUCUGGGCCGUAUAAUACGGCAGCAGAAAAUCAGCAUUCAUGGUUGUCUUUCAGCACAACGGCAGCACUGGUGAGGCAGGUCUCUGGGUCUUCCUUGGCCUCGGUGGCAGAUGAGGGACCAGUGGUGCUCCUGGGUCACAAAGAUGUCUCUGCAGCUGGUCUCUCAAUCCCACCCCACCCCACAGGCCCCCACUGUUGCCUCAGAGCCUCCCAGAGGCCGGGGUGGGGGUGGGAGCACGGAUGAUUGCUGUGGGGGGUGCUGUAGGGUGCCUGGACUCCAGACUCUUCCAAGACGUAGAGAUGCAGGGUGGGCUCCAGAGAGGUUUUCUUCUGGACCUAACCCCCUGACCUCCACCUCUGAUUUUUUUAAUUACAGUUUGUAGUCUCUCUCCCUGAGAGAGACUACAAACUGUAGUCCUAGUGACAGGAAGUGACGACCCUCUCUGCCUAAACCCCCUGUGCAGCCAUAUUUAUCUUCUGCUUCCCUUUGUGACCUGUUGCUGUCACAUACCCCUUUGUUCUCAUCCCCCAGGCCAGGGCCACAAUGCCCUCACUAAUACUCCAUUGCCCCCAUAGAGGACAGCCCCACCGUGCCAGGUACUCAAGUGGGUGCCAAAAUAAAAAUUUUUCAAAUG
ensembl:lncRNA novel transcript